rnacentral:lncRNA from 1 species
CGAGAUCGAGGAUCUAAAGGUCCAGUUCGGCCCGGAUGCCUUCAUCAAGGGUUUCAAACUCUGUCAAGAGAAGGUGGCUGGGAGGUUUUCCGAAUUGGAUCUCGACUUCCUGAACGAGGCAUCCGACGAUGAAGCCGGACCAUCCGAAGCCGCUGCCGGUCCUCCUCCAAUCGAGACCUCAUCGACCACCGCGGUCACCACCGACGAUCUU